GGGUGUGUGACUCAGGGGUGGGAGGCUUGCCUAAUGUGCAAGAGGCCCUGGGUUCAACCCCCAGCACUUCCC
rnacentral:tRNA from 1 species